CCUACGGGUGGCAGCAGUGAGGAAUAUUGGUCAAUGGGCGCAAGCCUGAACCAGCCAAGUCGCGUGAGGGAAGACGGCCCUACGGGUUGUAAACCUCUUUUGCCGGGGAGCAAGCCUGAGCACGUGUGCCCAGGCGGAGAGUACCCGGAGAAAAAGCAUCGGCUAACUCCGUGCCAGCAGCCGCGGUAAUACGGAGGAUGCGAGCGUUAUCCGGAUUUAUUGGGUUUAAAGGGUGCGUAGGUGGUUAAUUAAGUCAGCGGUGAAAGUUUGUGGCUCAACCAUAAAAUUGCCGUUGAAACUGGUUGACUUGAGUAUAUUUGAGGUAGGCGGAAUGCGUGGUGUAGCGGUGAAAUGCAUAGAUAUCACGCAGAACUCCGAUUGCGAAGGCAGCUUACUAAACUAUAACUGACACUGAAGCACGAAAGCGUGGGGAUCAAACAGGAUUAGAUACCCUGGUAGUC
rnacentral:rRNA from 1 species